GACGAACGCUGGCGGCGUGCUUAACACAUGCAAGUCGAACGGAAAGGCCCUGCUUGCAGGGUACUCGAGUGGCGAACGGGUGAGUAACACGUGGGUGAUCUGCCCUGCACUUCGGGAUAAGCCUGGGAAACUGGGUCUAAUACCGGAUAGGAGCCAUUUUUAGUGUGAUGGUUGGAAAGUUUUUUUCGGUGUAGGAUGAGCUCGCGGCCUAUCAGCUUGUUGGUGGGGUAAUGGCCUACCAAGGCGGCGACGGGUAGCCGGCCUGAGAGGGUGGACGGCCACAUUGGGACUGAGAUACGGCCCAGACUCCUACGGGAGGCAGCAGUGGGGAAUAUUGCACAAUGGGCGCAAGCCUGAUGCAGCGACGCCGCGUGGGGGAUGACGGCCUUCGGGUUGUAAACUCCGUUCGCUAGGGACGAAGCUUUUUGUGACGGUACCUAGAUAAGAAGCACCGGCUAACUACGUG
rnacentral:rRNA from 1 species